rnacentral:misc_RNA from 1 species
CUGUCCAUACCCAGAGUAGUCAUACCCCAAGAGAUUGACCCGCAAGUGGAUGCUCAAUUCAAUGAAAAGCUCAUACAUCUGACCCAAGUCAGCCGCAUUUCCAUGAGAAUACAGUAAAGUGGAGGUAGCCAUGGGAUGCCUAAUAUACAUGGCAACAAUUUCAGUGCCUUUACGAGUGGGCAACUUAAGUACUUCAACAUUUUCACGGUGAGGAAAAGGGCUUAGCAGCAAAAGACCCGUGAGAUCAUCUUUAAUAAGCUUAUAAGAAGGUGGGUUUGGAGGAAAAAACGCGAACUUCGCCGCCAUUGAUGAAGUUACCCCUCCCAUAUUCACCUUGCUACAGAAAGAAAAAAAAACGAUUUUUUUGGGG